GAUAUGGAGUCCAGAAGAAUUAUGUGACAAGUCCCAGCAGCACACUUGGUGUUGGCACAGGCGUCUCCACUGCAGGAUAUGGAGUGCAGAAGAAUUAUUCCUCAAGUCCCAACAGCACACUUGCUGUUAGCACAGGCGUCUCUACUUCAGGUGUUUGUUAUACUCACUCAGGAAAAAGAUUUAUGGCUACUGUCGUUCUCUAAGAUAUAUUCAGUGUGGCAUUAUAAACAUGAAGCCUUUGUGUCAUAUAUAGGAACUGGUACAAGGACCCUUAAUGAGAAUGUGUCAAAGAGAUACCUGACACUGGAGAAAGAGAACAUUCCAGUGAAGAGAGAAACCGAAGAACUUAUCCUGACCAAAGACAGUGGCAAGCAGUUUACCAACAGCACUCCCAAUGGGACAGCGGGUAAACACAGGACACUAAGUGUUGUAUUUGAUGUUGCUAAGGGGAUUAUUUGUGCUGUUUGAAUGAAAGUGAUUUAAAAUAUAACAUGAUUAAUUUUAUGACCUACACUAACACUACAUUCUGAUUAACUGAAUACACACAAUCUUUGCUUUGAAGGGUCAUAUUCAGAUGUUUCAAUGAAGAAGGAAACUAUAACGACCAGCUAUUCUGAAAGUGCUCCUGUGAAGUCUAGAUCUGGUGCAUAUUGUAAGGGAAUUAAUUUUCAUGUAUCUUGAUAUUUAUGUUUGAUAUAAGCUUUUGAGAUGUCACUGCUUUUUUGAGAUGUCAAAACAUUAUCGAAAUAUCUGUCAAUAAACAUUUUUUUGACCUCUCCAAAGAUGGGUCUACAUCAGUGUCAACAAAAGAUAAGGCUACAUAUGCAGGUAAAUCCUUUUAUUUGAAAAAAAACAUUGCAUAUAAUAUAGUAUACAGUAAUGCUGUAUAAAACAGUGGCUCACCUGUCUCCUGCUGUGUGUGUCCUGUCAGAGAUUCACAAGGCUAAGGUUGUUGAUGACGAUGACUGUAAGUGUGGAGGGGGUCUUUGUGGAUGUGGGACAAACUGCUGUUCCUGGUGGAAGUGGCUGCUGGGGUUUUUGCUCAGUCUCCUGCUGCUCCUCGGCCUUCUGUUUGGACUCAUUGCUUUAUCUGAGGAGGUGAAGAAACUACAGUCUCGUGUCAGUGCUCUUGAGGGAAUAUCCUCCUCCAUGACAGCCCACUCGAGUCGUCGGUCCUCUCCUAAUGAUGACAUUGGCUUAUAUAAAGAAGCUGGAAGUAAAGCGGCAUAUGUUAAUUCACUGGAUUCUGCACACAGUACAUACAAUUCUGUACUGCAGAGACAUGUACAGCAAAUAUUGAAAGCAGAGCUGCAGUCAGAAGCCAUGAACGCCUUCCUUGCUUCUUCAGUUAAAGCUGAAAGAGGACUUCCAGGGCCUAAAGGUGACACUGGAUCUCCAGGAACGAAGGGUUUGUACAAUUUUAAAACUGGCUGUGAAAUGUGA
rnacentral:lncRNA from 1 species